rfam:Salmo salar isolate Sally breed double haploid chromosome ssa11, whole genome shotgun sequence.
UGCAUUCACUACUGUAAGUCGCUCUGGAUAAGGGAGUCUGCUAAAUGACUAAAA